AGUGAACGCUGGCGGUAGGCCUAACAAAUGCAAGUCGAACGGCAGCACAGUAAGAGCUUGCUCUUACCGACGGCGCGUGGCGGAAGGGUGAGACAUACACCGGAAUCUACUUUUUCGUUGGGGAUAACGUAGGGACACUUACGCUAAUACCGCAUACGACCUACGGGUGAAAGCAGUGGAUCUUCGCACCUCGCGCGAUUCAAUGAGCCGAUGUCGGAUUAGCUAGUUGGCGGGGUAAAGGCCCACCAAGGCGACGAUCCGUAGCUGGUCUGAGAGGAUGAUCAGCCACACUAGAACUGAGACACGGUACAGACUACUACGAGAGGCAGCAGUGGGGAAUAUUGGACGAUGGGCGCAAGCCUGAUCCAGCCAUACCGCGUGGGUGAAGAAGGGCAUCGGGUUGUAGAACGAUAUUGUUGAGAGAGAAAAGCAGCAGGUUAAUACCCCGCUGUUCUGACGGUACCCAAAGAAUAAGCACCGGCUAACUUCGUG
rnacentral:rRNA from 1 species